rnacentral:rRNA from 1 species
AUUGAACGCUGGCGGCAUGCUUUACACAUGCCAGUCGAACGGCAGCGCGGGCUUCGGCCUGGCGGCGAGUGGCGAACGGGUGAGUAAUGCAUCGGAACGUGCCCAGUAGUGGGGGAUAGCCCGGCGAAAGCCGGAUUAAUACCGCAUACGACCUGAGGGUGAAAGCGGGGGACCGAAAGGCCUCGCGCUAUUGGAGCGGCCGAUGUCGGAUUAGCUAGUUGGUGGGGUAAAGGCUUACCAAGGCGACGAUCCGUAGCUGGUCUGAGAGGACGACCAGCCACACUGGGACUGAGACACGGCCCAGACUCCUACGGGAGGCAGCAGUGGGGAAUGUUAGACAAUGGGGGCAACCCUGAUCCAGCCAUGCCGCGUGCGGGAAGAAGGCCUUCGGGUUGUAAACCGCUUUUGUGCGGGAAGAAAUCCUCUGGGCUAAUACCCCGGGGGGAUGACGGUACCGGAAGAAUAAGCACCGGCUAACUACGUG